UGGGGAAUAUUGCACAAUGGGGGAAACCCUGAUGCAGCAACGCCGCGUGAGUGAUGACGGUCUUCGGAUUGUAAAGCUCUGUCUUCAGGGACGAUAAUGACGGUACCUGAGGAGGAAGCCACGGCUAACUACGUGCCAGCAGCCGCGGUAAUACGUAGGUGGCAAGCGUUGUCCGGAUUUACUGGGCGUAAAGGGAGCGUAGGUGGAUAUUUAAGUGGGAUGUGAAAUACUCGGGCUUAACCUGGGUGCUGCAUUCCAAACUGGAUAUCUAGAGUGCAGGAGAGGAAAGUAGAAUUCCUAGUGUAGCGGUGAAAUGCGUAGAGAUUAGGAAGAAUACCAGUGGCGAAGGCGACUUUCUGGACUGUAACUGACACUGAGGCUCGAAAGCGUGGGGAGCAAACA
rnacentral:rRNA from 3 species